rnacentral:rRNA from 1 species
ACUCCUACGGGAGGCAGCAGUGGGGAAUAUUGGACAAUGGGCGAAAGCCUGAUCCAGCCAUGCCGCGUGGGUGAAGAAGGCCCUAGGGUUGUAAACCCCUUUCAGUCGGGAAGGAUAAUGACGGUNCCCGCAGAAGAAGCCCCGGCUAACUCCGUGCCAGCAGCCGCGGUAAUACGGAGGGGCUAGCGUUGUUCGGAAUUACUGGGCGUAAAGCGCGCGUAGGCGGACUUUCAAGUCAGGGGUGAAAUCCCGAGGCUCAACCUCGGAACUGCCUUUGAUACUGUAAGUCUUGAGUCCGAGAGAGGUGAGUGGAAUUCCUAGUGUAGAGGUGAAAUUCGUAGAUAUUAGGAAGAACACCAGUGGCGAAGGCGGCUCACUGGCUCGGUACUGACGCUGAGGCGCGAAAGCGUGGGGAGCAAACAGGAUUAGAUACCCUGGUAGGCGUAG